AAUCUACUUCAUUGCCCUCAUCCUCCACAGGCAGAGAUUCCCCUUUCAGGAGGUCAGAUAGAUCAAGAGAGUCAUUCAGGCCAUUCUGGAGACACCAUGGCACCUUUUCCUCCAGCAGGAACUCAUUCUUGCCACUGAAGCACAAAGUGCUUCCUCACAGAGAAAUUGAAGAUAUCCUGAAAGAAAUGUCCUACACACCUUUUCAAGAGCACGGUGAUUAUUUUCUGAGAUACUGGGAUGCUAGCAAUGAGUGGAGCAGACAACGUAUUUGUCAGGUGUUGAUCAGAAAUAUCAGGAGGGACUUUCUGACUUUCUGUAAGCUGGAAGACCUGGAGAGCUUGGAGCUGAGAGCAAGAAAACUCAUCCAGCACAACAGCUCAGCUUCUAACCAAGACCUUUGCAUUCAGAAGGAGAAACUAUAUUGCUGGAUUCUGGCAGCGAUGUUUGUUCAUGUUUCCACAACAAACAACGUGAAACUUAAAGCUCUGCUGAGGGGAAUGGUCUUUGUAAAACACACUGUUCCUUCAGGGGAGAGAAAUUAUGAGUAUCUGUGCAUUAGUGCCUACCAAAAAAUCAGAGCAGCCAUCUCCAUUGCUGUAAAGAAGCAAAGGCACUGGCCAAAUUUCAUAGAAACAUAUCUGAAGCACUUGGAAACUUUNNNNNNNNNNNNNNNNNNNNNNNNNNNNNNNNNNNNNNNNNNNNNNNNNNUUCCAGUCCAUCCAGAAGCAGCUCCAGAGAGUACCCUGGAUGAUAAGACAUGUCUUUACUCUUGUUAUUACUGAAAAGGUGUUUGAAGCCAAACUGCUUGCAGUUAGCCAGUCCUUCCUCCUCUAUGUGUGCACAAAGUUGGGGAAAAAUCACUGGGAGAUUUUAUUGGAAAUCACUGAGCGCAUCACCGAACAUAUCCAAGCCAGCCACACACAAGGGGCAGUAACAGAGUGCCUGGAUCUUCUCCAAAGCCUAUGGGAAUGGUGCAUAAGAACUGCCACCAAAGAGAAGAAGCCUUUGGUAAUGACCAUCCUCAAUCAUUUCUUCCAAAAGUUGCUUUACCACCCACUGAGUGAAGUAAGACACUGCAUCGCACUACUGCUCUUUAGUGAGAAUGGUGCAUGCAUGCAUGUUACUGAGCUGGGAAACAAAAUGAUUCCAGCUGAUCCUAGCCACGUUGAGGCAGCUCUCCAAGAUUAUCUGAAGCUCACCUUCCCCGAUUUAGCCCUCAAGGGACAGCUGAAGGCAAAUGACAAUAGCAUGAUCGUGCAAGGAGUCAUACCUGCAGGCAAUGUGAAGAUCUGCAUAGCGAAACAACAGACCCUGAAUGACAUCUUGCAGACGAACACCACCAACAGUGACUGUGAAAGGUUUCAAGAAGUGAUCAGAAUAGUGGUUCUGUGUGCAGAUAGGGAGUCCAUUGCCAAGCUGCAAAUGUCCAGUGCCUAUGGAGUGCCUCCUUUGUACAUGUUGGAAGAUGGGAACCCACUCUUGGCUUUCCUGCAGGAAAAGAGAAAUAAGCUCACCCUAUCCAAUAUGUUAGGCAUUUUAAAGGACAUUGCCAGAGCUGUCUGGUCCUGUCACCAGAAAAGGGUAUUACUUUGCGACGUCACACCAGCCAGCUUCAUCGUGUUCACAGGUGGUGGACAAGGAACAAGAGCUCUUCAGAUUCGGGCUAAGCUGUCUAAUUUCCUCCAGGCCAGGCUGGCUCCUUCAGAGGAUGAGAAAGAUUAUUCUGCUAGUGAUUUUCCUUAUGAAAACAUCAAAUACUCACAGGUCACAGGGGACAGUAAGGAACCACUGUCCAUAUACUUCAGUGCUCCUGAGUCCCUGAAGUAUCAUAUCUUCUCUGCUUUCUCUGACGCAUGGGCCAUUGCUGCGACAUUUUACUCCAUUCUCCUGUAUGGUGGGCAGACAUACUUUGAACUCAGGCACUUGCCUGUGUCCAGGUUCAUAGAAGAGGGUCGGGUCUGGACAAGCGGCAUGAGAUAA
ensembl:lncRNA